rnacentral:rRNA from 1 species
CCUACGGGUGGCAGCAGUGGGGAAUAUUGGACAAUGGGCGAAAGCCUGAUCCAGCCAUGCCGCGUGUGUGAAGAAGGCCUUCGGGUUGUAAAGCACUUUCAGUGGGGAAGAAAGCCUUGGGGCUAAUACCCUCGAGGAAGGACAUUACCCACAGAAGAAGCACCGGCUAACUCCGUGCCAGCAGCCGCGGUAAUACGGAGGGUGCGAGCGUUAAUCGGAAUUACUGGGCGUAAAGCGCGCGUAGGCGGUCUGAUAAGCCGGUUGUGAAAGCCCCGGGCUCAACCUGGGAACGGCAUCCGGAACUGUCAGGCUAGAGUGCAGGAGAGGAAGGUAGAAUUCCCGGUGUAGCGGUGAAAUGCGUAGAGAUCGGGAGGAAUACCAGUGGCGAAGGCGGCCUUCUGGACGGACACUGACGCUGAGGUGCGAAAGCGUGGGGAGCAAACAGGAUUAGAUACCCCAGUAGUC